rnacentral:sRNA from 1 species
GUGGCAACGGCCAUGUUGGCGAGUGGGA